GGGGGCUCCACCUACGAUCGGACUACAGGGGUCACGGAUGCUCUUCCAAAGAUCCCGUUCUCUCCCCUAGACCCGGCACCACCCCCAACUCAGUUCCCGCACUUCCUCUCCUCCCGGCUCCCAGAUGAGAUGAAUUAAUAAGCUCUAGAAGCCAUAUUAGACCAUGAGACGACCAUGAGGAUGGAAGCUGCACGCUAGGAUGGUGAAGCAAAAAGAAGCGCAGCACAAGCCCAUCUGCACCCUGAAGGGACCAGAGAAGGAGCUUUUUCCUUGGAUCAAGUUAGAAGAAAUCCAAACAACAGAGAAAGGUGAGAUGAUUCUUGGAAAGAUAGGAGAGUUGGCCCACCCCAGGCUGGAGAUACAACUUAAUCACAGAACCAUUGCUAGAAAAGCCUCCACACUCAAAGGUGUCUCUGUCAGUGUGUAGGAGAAACCCUACCACAGUACCUGGGCUUCCAAGACUCAUGGGGCACCCACCAUGCCCAGCUUGAUUAAAGACAAUGGUGUUUAUUAAUUCAUCCAUUUGUUCAUCAAGGUUGCAUGACUAUUAUGUGCCAAAGAAUAAGCAGAACACUGCUCUUUAAAUGUUAA